AUGCGUAGCACAACGCAGCAGCUCCAAUGGCACCAGUUCCGCGGCAACUCCUCGCACGCGCUCCAACGACCCCCGGGGCGCUUCACUUCACCUCCGCCGGCGUCCCGACGACGCUUCAUUGCAACCCCGCCCGAGCUCCAACGACCACCGUGGGGCUUCACUGUAGCUCCGACAGCGUCCGGCGACGCUUCAUUGCAACCUUGCCGGAGCUCCAAUGACCCCAUGGUGGCCCUUCACUGUAGCUCCGGCGACGCUUCAUUGCAACCUUGCCGGAGCUCCAAUGACCCCAUGGCCCUUCACUGUAGCUCCGGCGGCGCUUCAUUGCAACCUCGCCGGAGCUCCAACGACCCUCGUGGUGCUUCACUGCAGGUCCAGUGGUGCCCGGUGGCGCUUCAUUGCAACCUCGCCGAAGCUCCAACGACCACCGCGGCGCUUAACUGCAGCUCCGACGACGCUUCAUUCGCAGCGCGACACCGCCGCGGUACUGCGACAAAGCACGCGGCGGCGAUGGUGAAAGCUGCAACACAGCACGACGGCACACGAGAUGCUGCGACGCAGCUCGCGGUGGCAACGACGGAUUUUGCAGCAGCAGCGGCACUGAUUCACGUGGUGGUCGGAGGGGUCAACGUCGUGCGCGGCCAUGCGCUGCUUGCUAGAGAAAAAGCGAAUCGGGAGGGAGGCGUAGGAGAGUGCCGUGCUGAACUGAAGCGAGUGGACGAGGGAAGAAGGAAGAAAAACGAACUGAUCCAUCGCUUGACUCUUCCACGUGAGAGAAGCUCAUGUCCCUCACAGGGACACAGCAACUCUAACAGACCCCGCAUCCCGCCCCAGCCCGCAAAACAACCGCCAAAUUGCAGGUCAGGCCGGAAAAUCCGCACAUCAGACCGCGCAUCCCGCCCAGGCCCGCAAAAUUUUUUGCGGGGCGCGGCAAAUCUUCUCCCCCAACCUCUAUCUUCACGGACUGGGAGGCCGACCCGAGCUGAACCCCUAUCCAACGGGAGGGACAUUUUUGUGCGCCCUUUCCCGCUCCUCGCACCCUCCGCCACCAUUGCCCCCCCUCCGCAAGCUCCGGUUCCUCCUCCCCGGUCGUUCCUCGCCACCAUGGACGACCCCAUGCUGUCCCCUGUCGAGGUCGCGCAUGCUCCUUCGCCUCGGGCGGAUCUCGUCGCCGGCCAUGUUGCCCCCGCCGUCGUCGCAGAAGCACACGCCGCGCCAUCCCGCAAGCGGCAGGGCAACGUGGUCGUGCAGGGCGGGAAUCCGGCUGCCCCCGCCGCGAUGGCCCGCGUUCCGGACGCCAAUGCCGCAAUGCGAUCCCGGCCGGCAACGGAGAAGGCUGGCAAGGCCGCGGGCGCAAAGCGGAGGAGGUACAAUGAAACGGAGGGCGGCGUGGAUGAUCAUGGUUGUGCAGACGAAUUGGAGGAGAUCGAAGCGAAAGCGUUUGAGCAAUCGCAAGCAAAAACUGGGAAAAGCCAAAGAUCGAAGAACUACACGAUCUUGGAAGAUCAAGCUUUGAUCCAAGCAUGGAAUGCGGUGUCUCUUGAUGCAUGCACGGGUACUUCUCAAACCGCCAAGAGAUAUUCGCAAAGGAUCGAAGAUCAAUACUUCCACAUUAUGAAAAACCGUUGGGCAGCUUGCUUGGAGCAAGUACGCAAUGCACCUCCAAGUGGCACCGUGGAGUCCGACUAUGACAAGAUUGCUCAACAUAGAUACAAGGACAUGGAAGCUUCGGAAGGCAGAUUCUUCAAAUUAGAGCAUUGUUGGGAGUUGCUCCAAAAGUGCGAGAAGUGGAAGUUGAUCGACAAAGAAUCCCCACCAAAGAGAGGCUCACUUAUAAACAUGGAUGAAGAUGAGGAUGAUGAUGGCCCAAGAAAUUUGCACAAGCCCGAUGGCGACAAGAAGACUAAAGAGAAGAUAAAGAGAGAGCAAGAAGCAUCGAGCUUGAGGGAGAAGAUUGAUGCCAUGGUGCAAUCAAACGAGUUGGCCGAGAAGAAGGCAAAAGAGAAGCAAGAAAAAUGGCAAAUGCUCAUGGAAGAGGGGCUCUGCAAAGCUGCCAUUGAGGAGAGAAAAGCAUGA
rnacentral:rRNA from 1 species